rnacentral:lncRNA from 1 species
AGGUGGCAGGAAAGAAGGCAGGAUCUCAGUGAUGUGUAUGUGAGGGUGGAAGGUAACAUUGGACUUCCACCCAGGAGGUGGCAUUCUGGUGGAAAGGAGAGGUGACCACCUUGUGACACCUGCUAUCUUUCCCCCAAGGAGUGGUAGACACUGGAUUAGAAUGGCGGCUAAAGAGAAACCUCAGAUAAUCAACUGCGAAUAUCCUUGUUAACUGAGUGUCUUAGGAUUCUACUGCUGUGAACAGAUACCAUGACCAAGACAACUCUUAUAAGGACAACAUUUAAGUGGGGCUGGCUUACAGGUUCAGAGGUUCAGUCCAUUAUCAUCAAGGUGAGAACAUGACAGCAUCCAGGCAGGCAUGGUGCAGGAGGAGCUGAGAGUUCAACAUCUACAAUUUAAGGCUGCUAGCAGAAUACUGUGGGGAAUUGCAGGCUUGUCUCCAGUCGAGCUGAGGUCUGAACCCCGAAGUCAUAAUUCACCUUCAUGACACGCCCAUGGAAUGACCCCAGCCCAUGGAAGGACCUCAGGCCAUGGAGUGACCCCAGCCCAUGGAAGGAAUGGUGUUGCCCACACUUAGGCUGGGUCUUCCAACUCCCUUAACCUAAUGUAGAUAAUCCCUCACUGAUGUGACCAGAGAUUUGUUUCCAUGGUGAUUCUAAAGCCCAUCGAGUAGACAAUCAAGAUUAGCCACCACAGUCUCUGAGGACAAGAUGCCUGCAUGCAGAAGUGUCUCUCCCUAUGCCAUCUAAGAUGGCUGCCAGAUAACUGUGAACUUAAUUAUAAUGUCAUCCCCACACU